UACGGGGGGGGCAAGCGUUGUUCGGAAUUACUGGGCGUAAAGGGUGCGUAGGUGGUUGGGUAAGUCUGAUGUGAAAUCUCCGAGCUUAACUCGGAAAUGGCAUUGGAUACUAUUCGGCUAGAGGGUUUGAGGGGGGACUGGAAUACUUGGUGUAGCAGUGAAAUGCGUAGAUAUCAAGUGGAACACCAGUGGCGAAGGCGAGUCCCUGGAAAACUCCUGACACUGAGGCACGAAAGCUAGGGGAGCAAACAGG
rnacentral:rRNA from 1 species